CAUUCAUUUCUUUCCUGUUAUAAAUUCUUAUUAUUCUAUCUUACUAUUAUAAUAUCGGAAAUAGUAUUUAUUUAGUUAUUGCUUUGUAUCGUUAUAUAUAAAAAUAGUCAACAAUCUAGUGGGAAGUUUAAAAAACUACAGGGAGAAAGCAAAACUCGUUUCAAUUUCUUUCAGAAAAUUUGCCAGGUGUCGCAACGUCCUCUCACGUAAUAACUAAGCAGAUAUAUUGCCGCGUGAUUGCUAGAGCAUGCAGAAAUCAGCAUAUCCAAAUGUAUCGAAGAAAUCACCGAUCUUUGAUUAUUUUCGAUAAUCAAAUGUUUUGAAGCCUGUCGAUCGUUCAAGGACAUUGCAUUUCAAGAUUCGAAUCGGCAAUCAGGAGAAGGAUCCAAGAUUCGUUUCUUCCGGUUGUGAAUAUUCUCGAGAAACGAUUGACAUUAAUAUGCGUUUCGAAUCGUGCAUCGAAUUAAAAGAAUACAAAAAAUGAUCCUUUGUUUUAAAUUUACUAGUUUCGGUGAUAACAUUUAAUUUUAAAAAAAUUAUUUCCCAAUUUAGAAACAAACUCAUUUCUUUGAUUCGAUUUUAUCGAUGAUGAAUAUUUAAAUUCACGAUAAUUAUUUUGUAAAAUUAAGGACCAACUGUUAUUUAUUUCCUGAUUUAUUUCUAUGACAAUAUUGAAUUUUACGAUUUUUAAUUAUUUAUAAACUAAGAACCAAUUUAUUCCUUAUUUUCCACUUUAAUUUGAUUUAUCGAUGAUAAUAUUUAAUUUCACGAUGAUUAUUUAGUAAUUUAAAGAUCAACUUUUUUUUAUUUUUCGACUCGAUUUAUUGAUAUUUAAUUUUAUAACAAUUAUUUAAUAAUUUAGAAACCAAUUUAAUUCUUAAUUCUCUCUCUAGUUCGAUUCCGUUUAUCGCGUAUCAAAUAAAAAAAAAAUACAAGAAAUAAUAUUUCCUUCAUUAUAAGGAUGUAAUAAAUAUUCGAUAAUAUUAUUCAAUCUCAUGAUAAUUAUUUCACAAUAUUAAUUUUUUGCUUCAUAUUCAUUUCUUAUAUUUUUUUUUUUUUAUGUAUAUGAGAAUACAAAAAAAUUCUCUGUGACUUUUUACUUAAUAACUUAGUAACUUUUUAACUUUAUAUACUCCAUUUUAUAUAUUUAUAUAGUUUUUGUAUAUUUUAAGUUGACGCAAUUAUACAUUGAUAAUAAUAAAUUGUGUGGAAAGUGAAGAAAA